rfam:Ictidomys tridecemlineatus contig029313, whole genome shotgun sequence.
GGGGAUAUAGCUCAGUUGGUAGAGUGCUUGCCUUGCAUGCACAAGGCCCUGGGUUCAAUCCCCAGCACCACCA